CACAGUUCACCUAUAAUGAGAUCUCUGUGAGGGAAGUCCAACCAGAGGGGAGCGCUGCUCUUUAUAUAGCUACUACAGGGGGCGGACCGGGGAGGAGGAGCCAAGGCCCGCGGCCACGCCCCCCACUGCUAGUUCUAAAUAUGAAAUCACACGUCAGAAUAAAACCUGGAGCAUGAAAGUGCGUUUACUGAAGAGUUGGACUUCUGUUUGAGAGGAUUCAGGAGUGAAGAGUGUGAUCGUGUGAAGAAGAACUAGAAGAAAGAGAACAAGAGGACAAACGAGACAAAGGCUGAGGAACAAGAGGAGGAGAAGAACAGGAAGAGGAAGAGAGAGAAUAACAUGAAGAAAGUGGAAGAACAACAACAACAACAAAUAGAUUAACGAUAAGAAGAACAAGGAGAACAAGAAAAAGAGCAGUAAGAAUAAGAUCAAGUAGGGAGAGAAUAACAAGAGGAAGGAACAACAAGAUAAAGAAGAACAAGAAGAACAACAAAAUACGAGCAAGAAUAAUAAAAGCAAGAAAAGAGAGAGAAUAAAAAGGAUAGGAAGAAGACAUAGAGGAAGAACUAGAAAAAGAAGAGUGAGAAGACAUUGAAAGAAGGACAAGACUUGGAUAACAAGAAGAGGAACAACAAGAGAAAGAGGAAGUGGAGGAAGAAAGACAAGAAGACAGAGGAUUUUUACAAAUGGGAAAGACAACAAGAGAAAGUAGAGCAGGAAAGAAAUGAGAAAUAUAAUAUGAGAAAGAUAAGAAAAGAGGAGGAAGCACAGGAAACACAAAUAUUAUCAUUUGUGUUUAUGACUCAGACAUCAACAUAUAGUUUAUGUAAAAAACUAAAAUGUAUUUCACUUGAGUUUAUUCUGUUUUUUCAAGUGUCUAAUCUUUACAGCACCCUGAUCCCCUGACGGUGUGCUGCAGGUUCCAGCCACUGGAUGGCGCCCUUUCCUCGGUGUUUCCUGUAUUGACCCCCCCCCCUCACAGUGACAGCUCUGGAGCCUCAGGGGCACUGAAGCCACCCACCUCAACCACGAAUGCAGAGCCGACCCAGGAUCAGUCAGAAGCCUGAGCUCCUCUCACCAGGACCUCAGCUCUGAAUGUGAACGUCGUCCUAAUCCUCAGACGCAGCCUCGAGUCUGCAGGAGCCCAGAGCUCCAUCCCCUCCACUGCUCCAUCCUCUUCAAACACACCUGCUAACAUCUCAGGGAGCUUUUUUCAGACCAGACGAGAGAUAGUUUGCGAUAGAGGGAUGAUGGAGAUCUUUUUCAUGUGCUGUGUUCUCCCCCCCCCCCCCCCCCCCGUAGCACCACAGAUUACUUUUCUUUUAUAGCCUGAAAACUAUUUCAGUGUUGUGCUACUUUUUCUCUGCAGCAGCUUGAGGCAGAACGUGCGUCUACGUGAAAUGUGAUUUAAAUGAAAUAAUACAAAAUUCAGUCUAUUAUCACACAGAUUAUUAAUUUUGUUAAGUUGUUAUUAAAGUUGUUUGUUUUGUUUUAUUGUUUACCAUCUGUAUAUUCUGCCUUUAUCACAGCUUUUAUAGUUGACCUGUCGACAGGGAACUGGGUCGAUGGAUCGCAGCAGGUGGAGCUGUUGUUACUGUGAUGAGUGACAAACCAGUCAGAACCAAAACCAAGACGACUUCUCCUGCAGAGUUUCUGACACGCUGGAUGUGGUUGGACUGGAUUGUUAUGACGGAGCAGAUCCGCUCAUUAAUCCAACCAUGACCGACAAGCAAACGACAGCUGGUGGCCCCUCAACCUUUAUGAUUGUCCUGGAGGAGGAGGAGGAGGAUUGAGAUGGAGGAAGGAAGAGGAGCAGGAUUGAGGUGGAGGAGGAUGGGGAGGGGGGUGGA